GACCAAAAUAGAUAAUGACCAAAACAUGAGCAAUAUGAAAGUUGAGUGAUUAAAUUGAAAAGUUUAAAGUUCAAUGAUCAAAAUAGGAGAGAAAAGAUAGUUGAGUGA